CGCAAUUACAAAAGUUUUAUACAGUUUUACUAUCCAUUAUUACUACCGACCCCAUGAAAGGAACAAACCAAAUAAUUGCAGAAUAGCAUAAAUGUACAGCACCAAUCCAAAAGUAUGAAAACUACUGACCUCUUUCCCAGUUCUCUCGUCACGGUGAUCAAGCGAUUUCCCAGGUCUCUCAUCACGGUGAUCAAGCACUUUCCCAGGUCUCUCAUCACGGUGAUCAAGCGCUUUCCCAGGUCUCUCAUCAUGGUGAUCAAGCGAUUUAUUGUUUUGGUCAUCACCCACUAUAUGAGAUGCUGGAACCUUGUCAUUCUUCUCAGAAACGACUUUCCAUGC
rnacentral:lncRNA from 1 species